UACGAAGGGAGCUAGCGUUGUUCGGAAUUACUGGGCGUAAAGGGCGCGUAGGCGGUUCGGCAAGUUGGAUGUGAAAGCCCAGGGCUCAACCCUGGAAUUGCAUUCAAGACUGCCUUACUUGAAUUCGGUAGAGGUUGGUGGAAUUCCCAGUGUAGAGGUGAAAUUCGUAGAGAUUGGGAAGAACACCCGUGGCGAAGGCGGCCAACUGGACCGACAUUGACGCUGAGGCGCGAAAGCGUGGGGAGCAAAC
rnacentral:rRNA from 1 species